UACGGAGGGAGCUAGCGUUAUUCGGAAUUACUGGGCGUAAAGCGCACGUAGGCGGCUUUGUAAGUAAGAGGUGAAAGCCCAGAGCUCAACUCUGGAAUUGCCUUUUAGACUGCAUCGCUUGAAUCAUGGAGAGGUCAGUGGAAUUCCGAGUGUAGAGGUGAAAUUCGUAGAUAUUCGGAAGAACACCAGUGGCGAAGGCGGCUGACUGGACAUGUAUUGACGCUGAGGUGCGAAAGCGUGGGGGAGCAAACAGG
rnacentral:rRNA from 1 species